rnacentral:rRNA from 1 species
UACAGAGGUCUCAAGCGUUGUUCGGAUUCAUUGGGCGUAAAGGGUGCGUAGGCGGCGCGGUAAGUCGGGUGUGAAAUCUUGGAGCUUAACUCCGAAACUGCAUUCGAUACUGCCGUGCUUGAGGACUGGAGAGGAGACUGGAAUUUACGGUGUAGCAGUGAAAUGCGUAGAUAUCGUAAGGAAGACCAGUGGCGAAGGCGAGUCUCUGGACAGUUACUGACACUGAGGCACGAAGGCCAGGGGAGCAAACGGG